rnacentral:lncRNA from 1 species
AAAGAGAAAAAGCAGGACAAAAGAAGCACCACUUUGGAAGCUCAAAGCCGCACUGGAAACACAGUCUUUCAGGAUGUCUGAAAGGGGCAAGUCUGUUUGUGUGGGGUAAGAAAUGCGGGGAGACAAACGGACAGUGGACAGAUUGCAGAGAGCUCUGUGUGCUGAGAGGAGGGUGCAGACCAGAUUUUUAAAUUGAGAAUGCAACAGUGAAGGAUUUCAAGCUUGGAGUGAGAGGGGAGACUACGAGCCUGCAGUGAUAAGGCAAAGCUGAAGAUUUCAGAGCCAAGGCCACACCCUACAGUUGCCAUGGAAUGGGGUGGCACAGUGGGCUUUGGAGGUAAAGUCUGCAGUUGAGAAGUUCAAGGGUAGUAAGUACUUAAUGCCAGGUCAAUCAUCCCUUUUAAGACACAGAUAUCAUCUGCAGCGUUUUCAGGAACAGUGAUAGAGAAGAAAAGCAGGCAGCUACUAGAUAUUCAAAUCUUCCACAAAUGUCAGGGAGAGAGUCAGGCAGUUGGUAGAAGAGACCUGUAAAGCUGGGUACCAUAAGCCUCAACACAGGUGUUUUUAUUUCAAGGCUGGGGAGCUGUGCUUUGGAAAAGCAAUGAGGAGGUAACAGGAAGUCUCUUCUUCUAAAUCCUGUGUUCAUGGAGGGGGGUGGGUUUUCUCCUCUUGAGAGGGAGUUACAUACAAGUUUAAGGGAAAAGAGUCUGAAGUUUCCACCUAAAUGAUUCUGAAAGAAUCAGAUAUACAGGGAGUCCACGGAGCCUCCCCUGCAAGCAUCAGUACAGAAGUCGAUGAUAAUCUGGAUGCAAGCCCAGGAGUGUGGAGUCCACUGACUCAGAAGACCUGCAUCUAAGGAAUUGGCUGUUCUUAUCCUUAAGAAUGAUGACUGUGUUUCCAAUUCCAGUAGACCCUUUGAUGCGUUCUGAAUAAAUAUUCCUUUUGGAAUUGAACUUCUAGAGCCCUUAACUUUGGCCCACUCUAGUUUUCUGUCUGUUUUUUUUUUAAAUAUUUUUUUUGUAAAGAUAAGGUCUUGCUUUGUUGCCCAGGCUGGUCUUGAAUUCCUGGACUCAAGCAAUCCACCUGCCUUGGCCUCCCAAAGUGCUGGGAUUAUAGGUGUGAACCAUUGUGUCCGAUCGCUCUCUGGUUUUUCUAAUAUCAUGAUCCCAACUCUGUUCUUUAUGUAAAUUUCCCUGAUCACAUGGUUGCAUCUUGGCAUUUCAAAAUCCUUAACAGACUUUGUUUUGUUUGAAUUUUACAAUGAACUUACAUGACUAGGCAUGGUCCCCAGUUCAGUUUUAUAGACAAGGAUUCUGUAGGUCAAGAAGUGAAACACAACCAAUAACAGCAGGUGACAGGAUUUAAACCUGGGUCACUUUACUUAUUUUUUUCUACUCUAUCAUUAUGUGAAUCUAUCCUACCUCUGCAAUGACAGAUGGCCCUAGAGCAAGAACACUUCCUUACAUCUGGUAUACAGUCAAAAAGUAAAAAUUCCACACAAAUAAAUAUGGAAAGAAUUUUUACCUGCUCCUAUAGCUUCCUUUCAGGGACCUGGAACCCACAAAUGUUGGGUAACAGAAAGAGGACUUAUGUAACUUAACUCAAAGCAGAAAAGUUACAGAGACUGUCUUAGCAUAAUAGAACAUGGAGUGGUCAUGCUUGGAUGUGCAAACUGUCUGAUAGCCUUGCACAUGGCUUGACCCCGAAUUACACUAGUGGGGCAAGUUGCCUGGGGCAAAGCAAAC